GAUGAACGCUAGCGGCAGGCCUAACACAUGCAAGUCGAGGGGCAUCGGGGGCUUCGGCCCGCCGGCGACCGGCGCACGGGUGCGCACCGCGUAUGCAACCUGCCCCUUGCCGGGGAAUAGCCCAGGGAAACUUGGAGUAAUGCCCCGUGGUACCCGGCGCGCGCAUGCGCAGCCGGGUUCAAGCCCUCGGGCGGCAAGGGAUGGGCAUGCGUCCCAUUAGCUAGUUGGUAGGGCAACGGCCUACCAAGGCCACGAUGGGUAGGGGCCCUGAGAGGGGGAUCCCCCACACUGGUACUGAGACACGGACCAGACUCCUACGAGAGGCAGCAGUGAGGAAUAUUGGUCAAUGGGCGCAAGCCUGAACCAGCCAUGCCGCGUGCAGGAAGACGGCCCUAUGGGUUGUAAACUGCUUUUGUACGGGAAGAAACGGGGGCACGCGUGCCCCUUUGACGGUACCGUAAGAAUAAGGACCGGCUAACUCCGUGCCAGCCGCCGCGGUAACAC
rnacentral:rRNA from 1 species